rnacentral:tRNA from 1 species
GGGCAGAUAGCUCAGUUGGUAGAGCACGGCAUUGAAAAUGCCGGUGUCCCCGGUUCGAGUCCGGGUCUGCCCA